UGGGGGCUGUUCAUGGCGGUUCCGGGGUCUCCAACAUUCUUCGCGGCUGUGGUCCUAAAUCCGUACGAAGCGGAGGCGGUGGAGCUUGAGGAUCUUGCUGGUGUGAAAUGACUGAGUACAAACUGGUGGUGGUUGGAGGAGGUGGUGUUGGGAAAAGCGCACUGACAAUCCAGCUAAUCCAGAACCACGUUGUUGAUGAAUAUGAUCCCACCACAGGGGAUUCUUACCGAAAACAGGUGGUUAUAGAUGGUGAAACCUGUCUGUUGGACAUACUGGAUACAGCUGGACAAGAGGAGUACAGUGCCAUGAGAGACCAAUACAUGAGGACAGGAGAAGGCUUCCUCUGUGUAUUUGCCGUCAAUAAUAGCAAGUCCUUUGCAGACAUUAACCUCUACAGGGAACAGAUUAAGCGAGUAAAAGACUCAGAUGAUGUACCUAUGGUGCCAGUAGGAAACAAGUGUGAUUUGCCAACAAGGACAGUUGACACAAAACAAGCCCAUGAACUGGCCAAGGGUUAUGGGAUUCCAUUCACUGAAACCUCAGCCAAGACCAGACAGGGUGUUGAAGAUGCCUUUUACACACUGGUAAGAGAAAUACGUCAGUACCGAAUGAAAAAACUCAACAGCAGUGAUGAUGGGACUCAGGGUUGCAUGGGGUUGCCAUGUGUGGUGAUGUAACAAGAUACUUAUAAAGUUCUAGCAUCAGAAAAGAGCCACGGUCAAGCCGCACUGACACCCUGGUCCUGACUUCCCUGGAGGAGAGAUAUUCCUGUUGCUGUCUUCAGUCUCACAAAGAAGCUCCUGCUACUUCCCCAACUCUCAGUAGAUCAGUACAAUAUUCUCUAUUUGAGAAGUUCUCAGAAUAACUACCUCCUCGCUUGGUUGUCUGACCAGAGAAAUGAACCUCUUGUUACUCCCCGGUAUUUUUCCACCCUGGGUUCUCCCCUAACACACACAGACACAACUCCGCCACCCCACGUUUUUCACCUGAGAAACAAUUUAUGCUCUGAAACAGAGAACCAAACUAUAGACAUCAAAUUCUUUACAAAACAGUGUCUUGAGCUCUAAAGUAGCAACUGCUGGUGAUAUUUUUUCUUUUUACUGUUGAACUUGGAACUAUGUUGGUUUUUGGAGAAAUGUCAUUAAUUACUGUUUUGCUGAGAAUAUAGUUAAUGUUGCUGUUCGGUUUGUUUGUAAUGUUAUUGGCUAUAUUCUACAAAAUGGCAUCUACUCUGUGUUCAUAAAUACAAAAGUGAAUACUGACUUUUGAGUCUAUCCCAGUCUUCUCAACUUUCAUGUAAUUAAAUCUAACUUUCAC